rnacentral:rRNA from 1 species
UACGUAGGGGGCUAGCGUUGUCCGGAAUCAUUGGGCGUAAAGCGCGUGUAGGCGGUCCGGUAAGUCCGCUGUGAAAGUCGGGGGCUCAACCCUCGAAAGCCGGUGGAAACUGUCGGGCUAGAGUGCGGAAGAGGCGAGUGGAAUUCCUGGUGUAGCGGUGAAAUGCGCAGAUAUCAGGAAGAACACCCGUGGCGAAGGCGGCUCUCUGGGACGGUACUGACGCUGAGACGCGAAAGCGUGGGGAGCGAACAGG